rnacentral:pre_miRNA from 1 species
AAGCUGUGCGCCUUGGCACUGGAAGAAUUCACAGAUAGACAUGAAAAUCGUGGAUCUCCCUGUGCCAAAGCUUACGGAAA